rnacentral:rRNA from 1 species
AUGUGGGAGGAAUGCUUGCCUCAUAUUGAAUUUGCUUAUAAUCGUUCAUUGCAUUCUACUACUAAGAUGUGCCCUUUUGAAGUUGUGUAUGGUUUCCUACCUCGUGCACCUAUUGAUUUGUUGCCUCUUCCAUCUUCGGAGAAGGUUAAUUUUGAUGCUAAACAACGUGCUGAAUUGAUUCUAAAAAUGCAUGAGUUAACUAAGGAAAACAUUGAGCGCAUGAAUGCUAAAUAUAAACUUGCUGGAGAUAAGGGAAGAAAACAUGUUGUGUUUGCACCUGGAGAUCUUGUUUGGUUACAUUUGCGUAAGGAUAGAUUUCCUGAUUUGCGCAAAUCAAAGUUAAUGCCACGUGCUGAUGGUCCCUUUAAGGUGUUAGAGAAAAUAAAUGAUAAUGCAUAUAAACUUGAGCUGCCUACAGAUUUUGGGGUUAGUCCCACUUUUAACAUUGCAGAUUUGAAGCCUUAUUUGGGUGAGGAAGAUGAACUUCCGUCGAGGACGACUUCAUUUCAAGAAGGGGAGGAUGAUGAGGACAUCAAUACAAUUGUUACACCCACAGCCCCUGCUGCUAUACAUACUGGACCAAUUACUAGAGCUCGUGCACGCCAACUAAAUUACCAGGAAACAGACCCUCGUGGUCAGGUUGAUCGUGCUCCGGCGUGGUCAAUAACCUCUCGGAGUUGGUUUAGCGAUUGCUAA